rnacentral:rRNA from 1 species
CAGUAGCCACGGUAAUACGAAGGGGGCUAGCGUUGUUCGGAUUUACUGGGCGUAAAGCGCACGUAGGCGGAUCGAUCAGUCAGGGGUGAAAUCCCAGAGCUCAACUCUGGAACUGCCUUUGAUACCGUCGAUCUGGAGUAUGGAAGAGGUGAGUGGAAUUCCGAGUGUAGAGGUGAAAUUCGUAGAUAUUCGGAGGAACACCAGUGGCGAAGGCGGCUCACUGGUCCAUUACUGACGCUGAGGUGCGAAAGCGUGGGGAGCAAACAGGAUUAGAUACCCCCGUAGUCCCUGUCUCUUAUAC